rnacentral:rRNA from 1 species
CUACGGGACGCUCCAGUGGGGAAUAUUGGGCAAUGGGCGCAAGCCUGACCCAGCAACGCCGCGUGAGGGAAGAAGGUUUUCGGAUUGUAAACCUCUGUCCUUGGGGACGAAGAAGUGACGGUACCCAAGGAGGAAGCUCCGGCUAACUACGUGCCAGCAGCCGCGGUAAUACGUAGGGAGCAAGCGUUGUCCGGAAUUACUGGGCGUAAAGGGUGCGUAGGCGGCAUAUUAAGUCAGGUGUGAAAUACUCGGGCUCAACCCGGGGGCUGCAUUUGAAACUGAUAUGCUUGAGUGUGAGAGAGGAAAGUGGAAUUCCUAGUGUAGCGGUGGAAUGCGUAGAUAUUAGGAGGAACACCAGUGGCGAAGGCGACUUUCUGGCUCAUAACUGACGCUGAGGCACGAAAGCGUGGGGAGCAAACAGGAUUAGAUACCCUAGUAGUC